UGGGGAAUAUUGGACAAUGGGCGGAAGCCUGAUCCAGCAACGCCGCGUGAGGGAUGACGGCCUUCGGGUUGUAAACCUCUUUCAGUACCGACGAAGCGAAAGUGACGGUAGGUACAGAAGAAGGACCGGCCAACUACGUGCCAGCAGCCGCGGUAAUACGUAGGGUCCGAGCGUUGUCCGGAAUUAUUGGGCGUAAAGGGCUCGUAGGCGGUUUGUCGCGUCGGGAGUGAAAACAGCGGGCUUAACUCGUUGCUUGCUUUCGAUACGGGCAGACUAGAGGUAUGCAGGGGAGAAUGGAAUUCCUGGUGUAGCGGUGAAAUGCGCAGAUAUCAGGAGGAACACCGGUGGCGAAGGCGGUUCUCUGGGCAUUACCUGACGCUGAGGAGCGAAAGUGUGGGGAGCGAACAGGAUUAGAUACCCCUGGUAGUCCACACCGUAAACGUUGGGCGCUAGGUGU
rnacentral:rRNA from 1 species